UGGGGCUGUAGCUCAGUGGUAGAGCACUUUCCUAGCAUGUGUGAGGCACUGGGAUCAAUUCUCAACACCACAA
rnacentral:tRNA from 1 species